rnacentral:rRNA from 1 species
AAUGAACGUUGGCGGCGUGGAUUAGGCAUGCAAGUCGUGCGGAAAGGCUCCUUCGGGAGUACUCGAGCGGCGAAAGGGAGAGUAACGCGUGGAUAUCUACCCCCUGGCCUGGGAUAGCGGCGGGAAACUGCCGGUAAUACCAGAUAAUGUCUGCGGACCAAAGGUGUGAUUCCGCCGGGGGAUGAGUUCGCGUCCUAUUAGCUAGUUGGUAGGGUAACGGCCUACCAAGGCAAAGAUGGGUACCGGGUGUGAGAGCAUGGCCCGGCUCACUGGGACUGAGACACGGCCCAGACACCUACGGGUGGCUGCAGUCGGGAAUCUUCGGCAAUGGGCGCAAGCCUGACCGAGCGACGCCGCGUGCGGGAUGAAGGCCUUCGGGUUGUAAACCGCUGUCAGAGGGGAGGAAAUGCGUAGGAGUUCUCUCUUACGUUUGACCUAUCCUCAGAGGAAGUACGGGCUAAGUUCGUGCCAGCCGCCGCAGUAACAC